rnacentral:rRNA from 1 species
GACGAACGCUGGCGGCGUGCUUAACACAUGCAAGUCGAGCGGUAAGGCCCUUCGGGGUACACGAGCGGCGAACGGGUGAGUAACACGUGGGUGACCUGCCUCUAGCUCUGGGAUAAGCCUGGGAAACUGGGUCUAAUACCGGAUAUGACUCCACGGCGCAUGUUGUGGGGUGGAAAGCCUUGUGUGGCUAGAGAUGGGCCCGCGGCCUAUCAGCUUGUUGGUGGGGUGAUGGCCUACCAAGGCGACGACGGGUAGCCGGCCUGAGAGGGCGACCGGCCGACACUGGGACUGAGACACGGCCCAGACUCCUACGGGAGGCAGCAGUGGGGAAUCUUGCGCAAUGGGCGAAAGCCUGACGCAGCGACGCCGCGUGAGGG